UGGGGUCCUGAGAUGCCCAGCAGGAUGUCUGCAGAAACUGAAGUUGCAUACUGGACACCAUCUGUUUCAAACAUUUACUGGGCACCUAGUACAUGUGGGUACUGUGCCAGGCCCUGGGGCUGCUACAGGGAGCAUUGCAAACUGCACCUAGCUUCCCUUCUCCUCCUCCACUCCCUCACCACCCCACUGCUCCUGCAGGAUGAUCACAACCUCAUUUAAACGGGUGUCCUGGCUUCAGUCUCCCUGGUUCACUUCUGCCCUCCCCACCCAUCCCACGCAGUACUCAAGUGGAUCAGCCGACACAGACCUGCUCCUGUCACUUUCUUGCUCAAAAACAUUUUACAUAACCUCUGUUAACAGUUUCCCAAGUGCCCUUGCAGAAAUGUCUGUCUGUAAUCUCUCCCUCCCUCCUGCCCGUCCCUCAUGCACACACAAGUGGGGUCGCAACGAGCACGUGCUCUCCUGCAGUACUGUCUUGGUAGUUUUCCAGUUCAGUACUCUUUGAAGUUCUUCCCUGUGCUUAAUGGCUGGCUGCCGUUCUGCUGUAGGAAUAUUCUGGGAUGCUACCGAGAAAUCCUUUUAAGGCCUGGGUGCCCUUGACUGAAAGCUUUUAGGAUGCUUUUCUGGGUGAUCAUUUCUCAUAGACCAUUAAUGGACUUAAUAAUCACAAACCAAAAAAAAAAAAAUUAAAGGGACUAUGAAAUUAUGCUUCAGCUGGAGCUGAAUAUUCAAGUGUAAUGAAUUUAAUUCAUUAUAAGAGAAUUUUUUUUAAGAUUGAU
rnacentral:lncRNA from 1 species